GUACCUGACCAGAAAGCAUCGGCUAACUACGUGUCAGCAGCCGCGGUAUACGUAGGUGGUCAGUGUCGUCAGGUAAUAGUAGGUCAGUAAAGCGCGCGCGGGCUGCUUCCUUAAGUUGAUGUGAAAGCCCCCGGCUCAACCGGGGAGGGUCAUUGGAAACUGGGGAACUGAGUGCAGAAGAGAAGAGUGGAAUUCCACGUGCAGCGGUGAACUGCGUAGAGAUGUGGAGGAACACCAGUGGCGACGGCGACUCUUUGGUCUGUAACUGACGAUGAGGCGCGACAGCGUGGGGAGCAAACAGGAUUAGAUACCCUGGUACUUCACGCCGUAAACGAUGAGUGAUAAGUGUUAGAGGGUUUCCGCCUUUUAGUGCUGCAGCAAACGCAUUAAGCACUCCGCCUGGGGAGUACGGCCGCAAGGCUGAAACUCAAAGGAAUUGACGGGGGCCCGCACAAGCGGUGGAGCAUGUGGUUUAAUUUGAAGCAACGCGAAGAACCUUACCAGGUCUUGACAUCUCCUGACAACCCUAGAGAUAGGGCGUUCCCCUUCGGGGGACAGGAUGACAGGUGGUGCAUGGUAGUCGUCAGCUCGUGUCGUGAGAUGUUGGGUUAAGUCCCGCAACGAGCGCAACCCUUCAUUUUAGUUGCCAGCAUUCAGUUGGGCACUCUAAGGUGACUGCCGGUGACAAACCGGAGGAAGGUGGGGAUGACGUCAAAUCAUCAUGCCCCUUAUGACCUGGGCUACACACGUGCUACAAUGGAUGGUACAAAGGGCUGCAAGACCGCGAGGUUAAGCGAAUCCCAUAAAACCAUUCUCAGUUCGGAUUGCAGGCUGCAACUCGCCUGCAUGAAGCGGGAAUCGCUGUAAUCGCGGAUCAGCAUGUCGCGGUGAAUACGUUCCCGGGCCUUGUACACACCGCCCGUCACACCACGAGAGUUUGUAACACCCGAAGUCGGUGGGGUAACCUUUUGGAGCCAGCCGCCUAUGUGAUCACAGGGGG
rnacentral:rRNA from 2 species